CCCCCAUCUUGGGGUUGGACCCCCAUGGGACCCCCAUUCUGAAGGUGGGACCCAUUUGGGUGUUGGGACCCCCAUGGACCCCCUUCUUGAAAGGUUGGGACCCCCGUCUUGGGGUUGGGACCCCCAUGGGACCCCCAUUUCUGCAAGGUGGCGCGAACCCCAUCUUGGGGUUGGGACCCCCAUGGGACCCCCAUUCUGAAGGUGGGACCCCCAUCUUGGGGUUGGGACCCCCAUGGGACCCCCAUUCUGAAGGUGGGACCCCCAUCUUGGGGUUGGGGACCCCCAUGGGACCCCCGACUUCGAAGUUGGACCCAUCUUGGGGUUGGACCCCCUAUGGGACCCCUAUUCUGAAGGUGGGACCCCAUUGCUGGGGUUGGGGACCCCCAUGGGACCCCAUUCUGAAGGUAUGGACCCCCGUCUUGGGGUUGGGACCCCCAUGGGACCCCAUACUGAAGGUGGGACCCCCAUCUUGGGGUUGGGACCCCCCCCCCCUUGGGGAUAAGGUGACACCAAGACCCCUAUCAAGGAGCUGGGACCCCCAUUAUGGGGACAUUGGGACCCCCAUCAUGGGGACAUGGUAACAUUGGGACCCCAAUCUUGGGGUUGGGACCCCCCCCCCUUGGGGAUAAGGUGACACCAAGACCCCCAUCCUGGACCUGAGACCCCCCAUUCUGAAGGUGGGACCCCAUCCUGGACCUGAGACCCCCAUCAUGGGGAUAUGGUGAU
rnacentral:lncRNA from 1 species